AUUGUACUUGUGGAGGUUAGAAGAUACCUUUUAGAGUCAAUCUAUUUCUACCAUGUGGGGCCUGGGAAUUGAGCUCCGGUCACCAGGCUUAAUGGCAAGGACCUUUACCCACUGAGUCAUCUCACUGGUCUCAAUUUUUCUUUGUAGAGGGCAGUGUCUUUGUAGCUUAGGCUGACCUCAAACUUACUAUGUAUCUAAGGCUGGUCUUGAAUUCUUGAUCCCCUUGCCUCCACUUCCCAAGUGCCUGGACUACAGGCAGGUGCCACCAUGCCCAGCUCAAUGUGUACAUACAUUAACAUGCAAUGAGUCUUCAGAAAAGCAAGCUUCAAGGUAAUUAUAUAAUGUAAUUCUACUUUUGUAAAAAAUCUAAAAAUAAUAAGCACCUAUAACAGAGAAUGUCUGAGGGUUUUAUUUAUGUGUUACAAUGGGUACUUAUUACUUUUGAAAUAAAAACAAUUACAACAAAUUUAAAAGAUAAAAUGAAAAUGGCAUCCUUGAAAUUGCUUAGCACAGCAUCUGACACAUGAUAGGUCCUUGUCCCCCCACCCCCUCUCUAUAUAUAUGCCCAGAAAGCCACAGCCAGACAAGGAAGAAGAAAUAAGAACAGCAUGGGCUCCUGCCUGACGGGCUAGGGAAGGAGAAAAGCAGCCUUCAUUCCUGGAAUCCCAAAAUAGUCCUAUGUGUUGACCUCAAAGAUUUUAAGAAAAACCUCUCCUCCCCUGGGCUCUUGGCAGAGCACUUUUCUGGGGAAGUGAGGAGGUAAAAGGUCUGUUGUCGGGUUCUGUUGUUAAUGCUCCUCUCCUGAUUCCCUUCUUCCUGUUUCAACAUCAGGGAUGGAGUUAUCAAGUGACCUUUGGGUAAACAAGUUUUCCUGGCUCUCAGGCAGACAGAGGAACUGUUGCUGCCCAUGGAAGAUGUAUGUUUAUCCAUUCUUGGUAGUGCCCUGGCAGGGCAGGUGUGAGGUGGCUCUCCAUGUGUCUCAGGUCUGGCUCUACAGUCUUGCUUUCAAAAGAUUUCCCCGAAGGAAAAGUUAGAAGAAGGAAAAUGUGAAGGAAAAUGCUCACCACUGCACUAGUAUGGAUAAUUGUGAAAAAAAAUGGAAAUAAUCUAAGUGCCUAAGUCUUAAGGGUUGAUAGUAAAACAGAAUGUCCGUGUGGCAGAAGCCAUGCAAUCACUGAAUUUGUGUGGAUUAAUAAUUGCUGCCAUGACCCACAGAUAAGCACUGAAUCAUACUCCUGGAAUCCAGUUGUGGAGAGGGAGGAGGGAUGAGCAAAGGAGCCAAGACUGUGCUGCAGAAACCCACAGAAACAGUGGACCUGACCUAGUGAGAGCAUGGAGACCCUAGUCAUAAAGCUGGGGAAACAGCAUUGGACCGAACCAAGCCCUCUGAAUGUGGGUGCCAGCUAGGAGGCCAAGACAGUGUAUGGGACCUCUAACAGUGGAGGCAGUCUUUAACCCUAGAGCACAAAUGGACUUUGGGAGCCCAUUCCCUGUGGAGGGAUACUAUUGCAGCUCAGAUACAGCAAGGAGGGCCUAGGCCCUCCCCCAAAUGAUAUGACAGACUCUGAAGGUCCCUGGUGGAGAGCCUUACUAUCCCUGGGGACAGGUUGGGGGAUGGGUUGGGGGAGGUUGGUGGGGAACAUGGGAGGAUGGGAGGGCAAAGAAAUAGGGAGGAAUAGAUAUGUAAAUAUGAGUAGUAAUUAAAGAAUUUAAAUAAAAAUGGAAAAAUAAAUAAAUAAAAUAAUUGC
rnacentral:lncRNA from 1 species